rnacentral:tRNA from 1 species
UCCCUGAUAGUCUAGUGGUUAGGAUUCAGUGCUUUCACUGCUGCAGCCCAAGUUCAAUACCUGGUCUGCGAA